rnacentral:rRNA from 1 species
UACGUAGGGUGCAAGCGUUAAUCGGAAUUACUGGGCGUAAAGCGUGCGCAGGCGGUUAUGUAAGACAGAUGUGAAAUGCCCGGGCUUAACCUGGGAACUGCAUUUGUGACUGCAUGGCUAGAGUGUGUCAGAGGGGGGUAGAAUUCCACGUGUAGCAGUGAAAUGCGUAGAUAUGUGGAGGAACACCGAUGGCGAAGGCAGCCCCCUGGGUCAAAACUGACGCUCAUGCACGAAAGCGUGGGGAGCAAACAGG